UACGGAGGGGGCAAGCGUUGUUCGGAAUUACUGGGCGGAAAGGGCUCGUAGGCGGCCAAGUAAGUCAGGCGUGAAAUCCCUCGGCUUAACCGGGGAACUGCGUCUGAUACUGGAUGGCUUGAGUUUGGGAGAGGGAUGCGGAAUUCCAGGUGUAGCGGUGAAAUGCGUAGAUAUCUGGAGGAACACCGGUGGCGAAGGCGGCAUCCUGGGCCAGCACUGAAGCUGAGUGAGCGAAAGCCAGGGGAGCAAACGGG
rnacentral:rRNA from 1 species